ACCUCUUCCCAUUCCGAACAGAGCAGUCAAGCCCGCCAGAGCCGAUGGUACUGCCGUAAAAGGUGGGAGAGUAGGUCGGUGCCGAUU
rnacentral:rRNA from 1 species